rnacentral:lncRNA from 1 species
UUUCACAAGCCCUCCAGGUGUGCCUGAUGCAGUCUCAAGUUUGAGAACUGCUGGCUUUUACAGAACAUAAAGCGAAGGUUGAGCCCCAAGGGAGUGGUGGGAAGUUGCUCUAAGAAGAGACAAGGUGGCCCCUCUGGCCUGUGUGAGCGGAAGGCAGCUGCGCUGUGAGCAAGAUCUCGGGAGAUGAGAGUCUGAAGCUUAUGGUGAGAGCAGCGGCCCUGGUGGAAGCGUGGUAGCCCCUAGAAGGUCCAGGAUGGAACACAGAAGCUUUCCCUUGGGAUAUUGUGGCGUGUGGAAAGAAGAGGAACCAGAAAAGAAUGUUUGUGAAGUUCUGGCUUGAAUCUCGUGCCGGGAGUGUGAAGAAGGUCCUUGCUUCCCCUUCACCUUCUGCCAUGAUUCUAAGUUUCCUGACGCCUCCCAGCCGUGCUUCCUGUUAAGCCUGUGAAACUGUGAGUCAAUCAAACCCUUUUCUUCAUAAAUUACCCAGUUUCAGGUAGCUCUUUAUAGCAGUGUGAAAAUGGACUAAUACAGAAAAUUGGUACCAGAGAGGUGGGGCAUUCCUAUAAAGAUACCUGAAGAUGUAGAAGCAAUUUUGGAAUUUGGGUAAUGGGCAGAGGUUACAACAAUUUGGAGGGCUCAGAAGAUAGGAAGAUGAGGGGAAGUUUGGAACUUCCUAGAGACUUGUUCAAUGGUUUUGACCAAAAUACUGAUAGUGAUGAAUAGUGAAGUCCAGGCUGAGGUGGUCUCAGAUGGAAAUGAGGAACUUACUGGGAAUUGGAGCAAAGGUCACUCUUGCUAUGCUUUAGCAAAGAGACUGGUGGCAUGGUGCCCCUGCUCUAGGGAUCUGUGGAAAGAAAUUUCUAGGCAGUAAAGUGUUCAAGAUGUGAUCUGGCUGCUUCUAACAGUGUAUAGUCAUAUGUAUUCAUAAAGAGAUGUUCUGAAAUUGGAACUUACAUUAAAAAGGGAAGCUGAAUAUAAAAGUUUGGAAACUUUGCAGCCUGACCAUGUGGUACAAAAGAAAAAAAAACAUAUUUCUGAGGAGAAUUCAAGCCAGCUGCAGAGAUUUGCGUAAGUAAAGAGGAGCCAAAUGUUAAUAGCUGAGACAAUGGGGAAAAUGUCUCCAGGGCGUGUCAACGACCUUAGCUUCAGCCCCCCCCAUCACAGGCCUGGAGGCCUAGGAAGGGAAAAUGGUUUCCUGGGCCAGGUUCAGGGCCCCUCUGCUCUGUGCAGCCUUGGGACAUGGCACCCUGUGUCCCAGCCACUCCAGCUCCAGCCAUGGCUAAAAAGUGCCAAGGUGCAGUUUGGGCCAUUGCUUCAGAGGGUGCAAGCCUCAAGCCUUGGUGGCUUCCAUGUAGUGUCAGGCUUGUGGGUGCUCAGAAGGCAAGGGUUGAGGCUUGGGAACCUCUACCUAGAUUUCAGAGGACGUAUGGAAACACUGGAUGUCCAAGUAUUAGUUUGCUGCAGGGGCAGAACCCUCAUGGAGAACCUCUACUAGGGCAGUGCAGAGGGGAAAUGUGGGGUUGGAACCCACACACACAGUCUCCAUUGGGACACUGCCUAGUGGAGCUGUGAGAAGGGGGCCACUGUCCUCCAGACCCCAGAAUGGUAGAUCCGCUAACAGCUUUCACUGUACACCUAGGAAAGAUGUAGGCACUCAAUGCUAGCCCAUGAAAGCAGCCACGGUGGCUGUUCCCUGCAGAGCCACAGAGGUGGAGCUGCCCAAGGCUUUGGAAUCCCAUCCCUUUCAUCAGUGUGACCUGGAUGUGAGACAUGGAGUCAAAGGUGAUUAUUUUGGAGCUUUAAGAUUUAAUGACUGCCCUGCUGGGUUUUGGACUUGCAUGGGGCCUGUAGCCCCUUUGUUCUGGCUCAUUUCUCUCUCUGCAAUGGGAGCAUUUACCCAAUGCCUGUAUCCCCAUUGUAUCUUGAAAGUAACUAACUUGUUUUUGAUUUUACAGGCUCAUGUGGAAGGGACUUACCUUGUCUCAGAUGAGACUUUGGACUGUGGAUUUUGAGUUAAUGCUGGGAUGAGUUAAGACUUUGGGGGACUGUUGGGAAGGCAUGAUUGGUUUUGAAAUGUGAGAAGAACAUGAGAUUUGGGAGAGGCCAAGGGUGGAAUGAUAUGGUUCGGCUCUAUGUCCCCACCCAAAUCUCAUCUCAAAUUGUAAUCCUCACAUGUUGUGGGAGGGGCCUGGUGGGACGUGAUUGAAUCAUGGGGGUGGAUUUCCCCCUUGCUGUUCUCUUGAUAGUGAGUGAGUUCUUGCAAGAUCUGGUUGUCUGAAAGUGUGUGACAUGUCUCCCUUUGCUCUUUCUCCAUCCUGCCACCAUGUGAAGGAGGUCCUUACUUCCCCUUCACCUUCUGCCUUAAUGUUAAGUUUCCUGAGGCCUUCCAGCCAUGCUUUCUGUUAAGCCUGUGGGUCAAUUAAACCUCUCUUCAUAAAUUACCCAGUCUCAGGUAUUUCUUUAUAGCAGUGUGAAAAUGGGCUAAUACAGAGCAUAUCCUAGGCUAUAAAAUAAACCUAAAUAAACAUAACAUUUAAAAGAGUUGAAAUUAUACAGAGCAUAUUCUCUGAUCAUAAUGGAAUCGAGUAUUCAGCAUGAAGAGGAAAAAAGACAAAAACUAGAAUUCAUUGGAAAAAGUGUUGGGGGUUAACCUAAGUUUUAAAAUUUCCUCUUAGCAAUUAGAUCUAUUGUCCAAUUUUCCCCUAAUUAUUCUUGGGGGAUGCAUGCAACUUUUCCCUUGUCUGAAGUGAUAACUCUGCAUUCAUUCUUGACCACCAUUAAUCAUGCAUAGCUGUGCUCACUGAGGCAAUGUUUUUGAGCCAAUGGAUGAACAAGAUCUCAUUAGCACUGGUUUCCAUGGUUUAUCGCUCAUGGCCAAUGUCACACAGAAUUUUCAACCAGGAUGGGAACGCCCAGCAGCUGGAUGUCCAGCUGCC